GAUGAAGAACGUAGCGAAAUGCGAUAAUUAAUGUGAAUUGCAGAUUUCAGUGAAUCAUCGAGUUUUUGAACGCACAUUGCGCCCCUUGGUAUUCCAUGGGGCAUGCCUGUUCGAGCGUCAUUUGUACCUUCAAGCUUUGCUUGGUGUUGGGUGUUUGUCCUGAGGGACUCGCCUUAAAGUAAUUGGCAGCCAGUGUUUGGUUUUGAAGCGCAGCACAAGUCGCGAUUCAAGGCUAUACACCAGCUUCCACAAGCCUUUUUCACUUUUGACCUCGGAUCAGGUAGGGAUACCCGCUGAACUUAAGCAUAUCAAUAAGCGGAGGA
rnacentral:misc_RNA from 1 species